rnacentral:rRNA from 1 species
AUUGAACGCUGGCGGCAUGCCUAACACAUGCAAGUCGAACGGCAGCACAGUAAAGAUUUCGGUCUUUAUGGGUGGCGAGUGGCGGACGGGUGAGUAAUGCGUAGGAAUCUGUCCUGGAGAGUAGGAUAACCCGAGGAAACUCGGGCUAAUACUGCAUGAUAUCGAGAGAUCAAAGGCAGGGGACCCUUCGGGGCCUUGCGCUCUAGGAUGAGCCUACGUCGGAUUAGCGAGUUGGUGGGGUAAAGGCCUACCAAGGCGACGAUCCGUAGCUGGUCUGAGAGGAUGACCAGCCACACUGGGACUGAGACACGGCCCAGACUCCUACGGGAGGCAGCAGUGGGGAAUCUUGGACAAUGGGGGAAACCCUGAUCCAGCGAUGCCGCGUGUGUGAAGAAGGCCUUCGGGUUGUAAAGCACUUUAGUUGGGGAAGAAAAGUAAUGAGUGAAUAACUGAUUGCUCUGACGGUACCCAAAGAAUAAGCACCGGCUAACUCUGUGCCAGCCGCCGCGGUAA